UCCUACGGGAGGCAGCAGUGGGGAAUAUUGCACAAUGGGCGCAAGCCUGAUGCAGCAACGCCGCGUGAGGGACGAAGGCCUUCGGGUUGUAAACCUCUUUUAGUAGGGAAGAAGCGACUGGGUUUUCCUGGGAGUGACGGUACCUGCAGAAAAAGCACCGGCUAACUACGUGCCAGCAGCCGCGGUAAUACGUAGGGUGCAAGCGUUGUCCGGAAUUAUUGGGCGUAAAGAGCUCGUAGGCGGUUUGUCGCGUCUGCUGUGAAAACCCGAGGCUCAACCUCGGGCCUGCAGUGGGUACGGGCAGACUAGAGUGCGGUAGGGGAGAUUGGAAUUCCUGGUGUAGCGGUGGAAUGCGCAGAUAUCAGGAGGAACACCAAUGGCGAAGGCAGAUCUCUGGGCCGUAACUGACGCUGAGGAGCGAAAGCAUGGGGAGCGAACAGGAUUAGAUACCCUGGUAGUCCAUGCCGUAAACGUUGGGAACUAGAUGUGGGGACCAUUCCACGGUCUCCGUGUCGCAGCUAACGCAUUAAGUUCCCCGCCUGGGGAGUACGGCCGCAAGGCUAAAACUCAAAGGAAUUGACGGGGGCCCGCACAAGCGGCGGAGCAUGCGGAUUAAUUCGAUGCAACGCGAAGAACCUUACCAAGGCUUGACAUAUACCGGAAACGGCUGGAAACAGUCGCCCCGCAAGAUCGGUAUACAGGUGGUGCAUGGUUGUCGUCAGCUCGUGUCGUGAGAUGUUGGGUUAAGUCCCGCAACGAGCGCAACCCUCGUCCUAUGUUGCCAGCACGUAAUGGUGGGAACUCAUGGGAUACUGCCGGGGUCAACUCGGAGGAAGGUGGGGAUGACGUCAAAUCAUCAUGCCCCUUAUGUCUUGGGCUUCACGCAUGCUACAAUGGCCGGUACAAAGGGCUGCGAUACCGCAAGGUGGAGCGAAUCCCAAAAAGCCGGUCUCAGUUCGGAUUGAGGUCUGCAACUCGACCUCAUGAAGUCGGAGUCGCUAGUAAUCGCAGAUCAGCAACGCUGCGGUGAAUACGUUCCCGGGCCUUGUACACACCGC
rnacentral:rRNA from 1 species